rnacentral:lncRNA from 1 species
CCUUUCUUCCUCUCUUGUGUCUGUGCAGAGGUAACUAGCUGGGUACCAAGACUCAUGCUUCCUCCCCCCCUGUGUGGAGUUGUCGCCCAACCAGGCCCCGUCAGAGUCUACCGGGAGUCCUUGUGACAAGUUUGGGCCAGUGGAGUGGAGAGAGUCAUUUGUGUCACUUCUGGGCUAAGGAGCUUCCCUUGGGGUCUCUCUGCUGGCCAUCUGCCCACAUUGUUUUUAUAUUCUUCAGAAUAAGUAGAGCUGAGCACCUCUUCAUCCAUUUGGAGAACACAGCGCUCAUCAUCUAUCUUCUCUGCCUGGCCAGCGUUGCUCUUCUAUCCAAGACUGAAAUGGGUCCUUUUGGACAAGUGUCACCUGGAUCUGUUCAGGCACUGCUCUUUAGUGACCGUGCCAAGGUAACAUGCCCCAGUUCUGUUUAAAAAGCGUGGGA